rnacentral:lncRNA from 1 species
UACGGGGCGCGGGGCAUGACGGGAGUUGUAGUGCGGGAGGGGCGGGGUCUGCAAUGCUUCGCUACGAGCGCCGCGGGGCAUGACGGGAGUUGUAGUGCGGGAGGGGCGGGGUCUGCAAUGCUUCGCUACGGGCGCCGCGGGGCAUGACGGGAGUUGUAAACGGAUAACGAGGGAUUUCACGACCCCAGAGACGCGUCCGGAGCGGCGAUGGCCGCCAAGGUGAAGGUGGAGAAGCCAGAGCUGGAGGCGGCGGCGGCGCGGCGACGUCUCGACGCCGUCCUGGAGCAGCUCCUGCAGCGCGGGCCCAGGUGGGAGCCGGGCGGGAAUCCCGGAAUUCCCGGAAUUCUGGGAUCCAAAAUGGGAAUCUGGAGGGGUUUGGGGCAGGAAUCCGGGAAUUUGGGGAGUUCUGGGAUCCAAAAUGGGAAUCUGGAGGGGUUUGAGAGGGAAUUUUGGGAGGAGUUUUGGGAAUUUUGGGAAUUUUGGGAUCCAAAAUGGGAAUUUUGAGGGGUUUUAGAGGGAGUUUGGGACAGGAAUCCGUGAAUUUUGGGAAUUCUGGGAUGGAAAAUGGGAAUUUUGAGGGGUUUUAGAGGGAAUUUGGGGCGGGAAUCCCGGAAUUCCCGGAGUUCUGGGAUCCAAAAUGGGAAUCUGGAGGGGUUUGGGGCAGAAAUCCGGGAAUUCUGGGAUCCAAAAUGGGAAUCUGGAGGGGUUUGGGAUAGGAAUCCGGGAAUUCUGGGAUCCAAAAUGGGAAUCUGGAGGGGUUUGAGACAGGAAUCCGGGAAUUUGGGGAACUCUGGGAUCCAAAAUGGGAAUUUUGAGGGGUUUUAAUUGGAAUUUGGGGCAGAAAUCCGGGAAUUUUGGGAUCCAAAAUGGGAUUUUUGAGGGGUUUGGGGCAGAAAUCCGGGAAUUCUGGGAUCAAAAUGGGAUUUUUGAGGGGUUUGGGGCAGAAAUCCGGGAAUUUGGGAAUUCUGGGAUUGAAAAUGGGAAUUUUGAGGGGUUUUAGAGGGAAUUUGGGGCAGAAAUCCGGGAAUUCUGGGAUCCAAACGGGAAUUUUGAGGGGUUUUAAAGGGAAUUUGGGACAGGAAUCAGGGAAUUUUUGGAAUUUUGGGUUCAAAAAUGGGAAUUUUGAGGGGUUUUAGAGGGAAUUUGGGGCAGAAAUCCGGGAAUUUUGGGAAUUCUGGGAUCCAAAAUUGGAAUCUUGAGGGGUUUUAGAGGGAAUUUGGGGCAGGAAUUUGGGGAAUUCUGGGAUCAAAAUGGGAAUUUUGAGGGGUUUUAGAGGGAAUUUGGGGGUUUUAAUUGGAAUUUUGGGAGGAAUUUGGGAAUUUUGAGGGGUUUUAGAGGGAGUUUNNNNNNNNNNNNNNNNNNNNCGACGUCUCGACGCCGUCCUGGAGCAGCUCCUGCAGCGCGGGCCCAGGUGGGAGCCGGGCGGGAAUCCCGGAAUUCCCGGAAUUCUGGGAUCCAAAAUGGGAAUCUGGAGGGGUUUGGGAUAGGAAUCCGGGAAUUCUGG